rnacentral:piRNA from 1 species
ACGGAGAACAAGAGUACCGGGUGACACU